AGGGAAACACAUUUCUUUUUGCGUUGAAGCUUGCAGCCGUAACAGGCAGCUGUUACAGCAGUAUACAGGGGAUAGGGUUUGUCUUCACGUCGGCUCAAAGAGGUUCAUAGGCCCUUCGUCAAUUCUUCGGAAGGAUUAUUUGAAAGGGGGAGAGACCUGGUUGUAUCGAAUCAUUGCUAAACGAUGCGCAACACAAUCCUCUUUGCAUUUCUUGUGCUGCACAUCUCCUGUUUGGCGUUCGCAUGGGACCCGGAAAUCUGCGCCGGCCCUGAACCCGAAGGUGAACCCUGUUUCGACGAAACUCCGAGAUAUUAUUACAGCUACAAGUACAACGCGUGCCGCCGUUUCUACCCAGGGUACUGCGCGGAUUCUCCCAGGCUCUUUGAUACCCUCGAAGAUUGCAAGGAACGUUGCAUGAGUCAGUCUUUGUUCGUGCUUCAGAUAUGAGUCCACGAGAGCUGUGCAAGCUCCCCCACACGAGAGGAAAAGAAUGCUAUCAGGCCAUCCGAAUGUAUUACUACAAUCCCAGACUGAGGCGUUGCGUGCAGUUCUACUAUGGUGGAUGUAACGGCACGCCAAACCGAUUCGUGACCAUCGAGAGGUGCCAAAAGUUCUGCGGACGAUGAAAACCUUCGGAGACGGUUCUGCAUCUCUUCCGAGAGAAUAUGGCAGAAGAAUAUAUUACAGAACACCCUUAUCGUGCAGUAAUGUAUUCAUGUAGGACAACAUAUGACUGUGACGCACAACGAAUAUUGAAUAAAGAAUACGAAUCACA